GGUAUACACGACCCGUACCGCAAGCCGACACAGGUAGUCAAGGAGAGAAUCCUGAGGUGCGCGAGUGAUUCACGGCUAAGGAACUCGGCGAAUUAACCCUGUAACUUCGGGAGAAGGGGUGCUUCCUCUAGCGAUAGAGAAGCCGCAGUGAAAAGUCUCAGGCGACUGUUUAACAAAAACACAUGGCUCUGCGAAAUCGAAAGAUAAAGUAUAGGGCCUGACACCUGCCCGGUGCCGGAAGGUUAAGAGGGGGGCUUAGCGUAAGCGAAGGUCUGAAUCGAAGCCCCGGUAAACGGCGGCCGUAACGAUAACGGUCCUAAGGUAGCGAAAUUCCUUGUCGGGUAAGUUCCGACCUGCACGAAUGGUGUAACGAUCUGAGAACUGUCUCAGCCGUGAGCUCGGUGAAAUUGUAGUAGCGGUGAAGAUGCCGCUUACCCGUCACGGGACGGAAAGACCCCGUGCACCUUUACUAUAGCUUUGCAUUGAUUUUGGGUAAAUGAUGUGUAGGAUAGGUGGGAGGCUUUGAAGCGGGUACGCUAGUAUUCGUGGAGCCAACGUUGAAAUACCACCCUUUAUUUACUUGGAGUCUAACCCCUGAAUAGGGAAACAGUGCAUGGUGGGUAGUUUGACUGGGGUGGUCGCCUCCAAAAAAGUAUCGGAGGCUUCUAAAGGUUCCCUCAGUACGCUUGGUAACCGUACGUAGAGUGCAAUGGCAUAAGGGAGCUUGACUGUGAGACUAACAAGUCGAUCAGGUACGAAAGUAGAGCAUAGUGAUCCGGUGGUUCCGCAUGGAAGGGCCAUCGCUCAAAGGAUAAAAGGUACGCCGGGGAUAACAGGCUGAUCUCCCCCAAGAGCUCACAUCGACGGGGAGGUUUGGCACCUCGAUGUCGGCUCGUCACAUCCUGGGGCUGGAGAAGGUCCCAAGGGUUCGGCUGUUCGCCGAUUAAAGUGGCACGCGAGCUGGGUUCAGAACGUCGUGAGACAGUUCGGUCCCUAUCUGUGAUGGGCGUAGGAAGUUUGAGUGGACCUGACCUUAGUACGAGAGGACCGGGUUGGACUAACCUCUGGUGUAUCUGUUGUGCCGCCAGGUGCAGCGCAGAGUAGCCACGUUGGGACGAGAUAAGCGCUGAAAGCAUCUAAGCGCGAAACUCACCACAAGAUGAGACUUCCAUACAGGGACGUCAGAGACUAUGACGUUGAUAGGCUGCAAGUGUAAAGUCAGAAAUGGCAUAGCUGAGCAGUACUAAUUACCCAA
rnacentral:rRNA from 1 species